GCGCUUGUAGCUCAGGGGAUAGAGCAGUGGCCUCCGGAGCCACGUGUCGGGGGUUCGAAUCCCUCCAAGCGCGCCA
rnacentral:tRNA from 1 species